AAAAACUUUCCUUCUGACUUUGCACAACUCGAGUUCCACCUGCACCCCCCUUCCCUGCAGACCGAACUUGUAACUGCCUCUGCACAACAAGUUCCCCCAGCACGUCACUCGCACCCCCCAAACUUGUUGCAUUAGCCAAUUUGCCUCUGCACAUUAAUAUCUUUAUGUAUUUAGAUAUAGAAUUUGUGUGAAAUAUAUUAUCCUUUAUUAAAGUAGGGUUGGAUCUGUCCAUUGGGUGUCUAGAGUGUGUAUAUUCUGGGACUUAGUUUGUAUUAAAGAAGUGACUCAUUCUAAGCCACUUUUCAAUUGCCCUUCUUUUUUUCUUUUUUAUAGUUUUUGAAUUAUUUGCUUUCUUCUUCUGAAUCUUUCCAGCUUUCAAAUGGGGGUCACGAGGGCCAGAACUAGGUGUAGGCAGAAGAGGCACCUACCUAGAGCACAUAAAUACGGGGGAGCUGAGCAGUCUUAAAGGUUUCUUCAGGUAAAGAACCCCUGGAGCCAUUUACAAUGGAAAGGAAGAUUCUGUGUGAAAGAUGAAAGAAGCUGGACUCCAGAAAUCCUAAACGUUGAUACCAGGACAGCACAGAUAAUUGACAAUGGUAAUAUAGGCAGGGCCGAGCCAAGCCAGCCAGCCCCCUCGCACCCCCUACACACAUGUACAACCACAGGCACGCGCACGCACAAGAGCACAUUGCCGGCAAGAGAGGACAAGGGUCAUGACUAGGGGUAUUUUCUGGAUAACAUGGGAAGAUCUACGAGUGAGAUCUACUUGAGUGGAAACCAAAGUCUUUUGAAGAAUCCACCUGCAUACACAGUUGUUCAGAAGCACGUUAUAACCUCCAGAAAAUCGAAAUCCUUCCCAGCCUGUCGCCAUUUCCCAUUAUAAAGAGGCUAUUACCCAGCAUUCUAUGAGGUGUGUUAUGGUGUCACUUGGGACUGGCUAACUGCAUGGCCAGUUAAUGUUAUUCUGUGUAGUGAAGACACAUUACAGCAUAUGCAGACAGAUACAAUAAAUUCAUGAUUGCAUAGAUAUUUCCUUUAAGCACAAUUCCUUGGGAAAAUAUGAAGGGACAGCAGCAGAAUGUCAGGAGCGCCCGUCUCCAGGGGCAUCGCAUCCAAGAUGGUGGUGCCCAUGACCCACGUGGGACAACCAUGGGGCUCGUAUAGGUAAUGGGGAAUGGGCUGGGUUUGUGUUAAUCAGGUGCUUGUUUCAGUGUAACAAGCUUGUUUGUCGAUCAGUGGCAAGUUUUAUUUAGCAUUUGUUAGAAAUUUGCACCCCCGAGCAGCCAACUAAGUAGUAUGGGCCUCUUUUUGGCAGUACCCUUUACUUGAAAAAUUCUUUGGCCUCAAUUACAAAAAGGGGGUCAACUUGUGUAAUUACUCACAGUCAGCUGCAGUUUGAGGCAAAUGUUGUCAGUGUAGUGGUUCCCGGAUACUCUGUCCUAGGCAUCCAAGUAUUGUAUCGAUAAGUCAAAGCGGUUAGGAAUCAUACACUGGGGCAGAAAUUGUCUGCUAUUGUGCUUUUAUUUUUGUCCACACAACAUGUUUCAGGCUGCAAAGGCCCUUUCUCAAGUGUGUUCUUAUUAUUGCACUAAUCAAGAUCAAAAGAAAAGCACUAACUUUACCAGUCUUAAAUCCCACCUAAAAAGCCUACCUCGAUCCCCAUUUCUGGAAUAUAAUCGUGUUCAUGCAUUAACUCACUUUAUUUGAAUGGCACGGUGCAUUUGUAAAACAGAGUGAGAAAGUGGGAAAACUAGCAGCCAAAGGAAUAUGCGCAGACUAUAUCAAGCUAAGUUUCUGUGGAGCGUCGUCAUCUGAUUGUGGUGCCAUCUCAUUUGUGCUAAAUCAGUACAGGUAUGGGACCCGUUAU